UUGAUUUUAGCUUAGUCGGUAGAGUAGAGGACUGUAGAUCAUUAGGUCGCUGGUUCGAAUCCAGUAAGUCGAA